UGGUACCUGGUACCAAGAAGUGGAAUGUUGCUGUAACAAACGUCUAAAAGUGUGGAAGCUGCUUUGGAACCAGAGUCAAGAGUGAGGAGCAGGACCCAGGCUGGUUGAGUUCAAAUUCCAUCUCUCUUACUUAGUGGUUGUGUCAUCUUAGAAUUUUUGAAUAUGUGAGUAGUUCCUGGAAAUCCUGAUUAUUCCAUGUGGAGAAAUGACCUACAGAUGAAAGAAAAACAGCAGAAUGGGUGUAAGCAGGACCCAGGUUAAAAAAGAAAUUGCAAGCUAAAGAAUGGCAUUGUUAUUCAAGGCCAAAGUCAUACCUUAUGUAAAAGAUUUUUCUAUCUUUUAUAGUCCACGUGCU